CAUGUGGGAGGGUUUCCUCGCCCUGCCCUCGGGUGCGGCCGGAGCGUCUAGUUCACCCAAGGGGCUUCCCUAUCGCAUUCUUUCGAGGGGGAAAAGGCGUCUCCCCAGUCUCGGUAGCUGCUUUCUCGGUGCUGGGAGAGCGGAUCCCUUCCCCGGCCCGCCUACCUCCUACGCGUGAUGUAUGAAGCGUUUGGAAACGUGGGCCCAAUGCCGCUACUUGUUUGCUACAAAACGAGAGUGUCGGAUCAGCAGCUGGUGCUGGUGAGGCGAAGAGAUUAAACUGGAACGAGCAGCCAAGCCGCGCUCUCUCCUCCUCCGCUGCCUUGUAGAAGGAGGGCCUCCCUCGUUAGGCAGCCCCCUGACUCUUCUGGUCCCCUGGGCCGGGCCGAGGAGGCGGAGAUGGAGCAGAGCCGAGCCAAGCAAGAGGAGUUAGUGGCCCCUCCCAGUUCUCUGUCUUGCUCGUCCACUCGGAGGAUUGGUGCCAUAGCGCUGCCUAGCUAGAGAUCACCCGCGGCCGUCCGCUCGGUUUCUCCUGCUGGCCGCCUCUCGAGGCGACGAGGCUCAGGGCAGGGGCAGCCGUCUCUCCCUGCGGGAAGUGCGCCCCAGGAGCUCCGUCCUCCCCGCCACAGCGCGAGAGAGGGCGAGCGAGCACGCAGUGGCGGCGGCGGCGGCUGCUCCUCCGACCGGCAGGAACUGCUUCCCUUUGUUUGCUCGCCCCCCUCCCGAUGGCUCUUGUCCGGGCCCAAUGCUUCCUGCUAUAUUGCCGAAAGGGACAGGAAGUGCAAAUAAUGCGAAGUAGCGGCAGUUCUCCCUUGCCCAGAACCGCCGCCUCUCCUCGCUGGCCCGACGGUCGAGAGGGGUCGGAUUCACUGGAUCCCUCCUGUGCGGGCACCUGAAGGGGCGAGGGCAGUAUGGCUUCUGAACUGGUUUUGGGAUGGCAACUGCCUUGGUCAUGCUACUGGAUGAACAGCACUGGAGAUAAACGAGGGAAGUACAACCCUAUUAAUUCUGUGCUUGAUACCAUCAACUAUUAGCCUUCUGGGACAUCUGGUAGGGCACUGUGAAUCAAUGCUUCAGUUGCUUCCUGAAUGGUCAGACCCAGGUGGUGCUGAGAGACCACUGUUGCACUUCAGGGUGUUCGAUCUAUUUCAUAAGCUUUCAUCUUUCCUCUCCUGAGCUUUAACAUCUGCAUGAAACUGCUAGUAGCCCCGUUUUGGCCCUGAAGUCAGUGAACUCAGCAUCUGGAUUCAUAUUGUAUAUUCAAUGGGGAAACCGAAUAUUUCAUCAUACCUGUGGUUGAGCCACCACCAUCUCCAAACAAAAGAUAGAAAGAGUAUGGAUUCCUGCCUUUGCUGCUAACUCAGAUCUUACGUUGUGUAGAAAAUAUUUGGGGUGUUUCUUUUUGGAGUUUGUAACUAAUUAAAAGGGUAACACAUCUGUGUCAAAGUCAGUGGAGCACAAGGCUACUGCACGCAACGGAGUGCAAGAUUUGGUCUGCUGGCGGGGGGGGGGAUUUAAACAGGCUGUUGGGCUUUGCUGCAGCCUAAGGAAUGUUUUAUAUGGGAAUUUUUCCCUGAAAAUCCAAACCACCCCAAGCACAAAAUGUGACCUGCAAUAUUCAAAGAGGAUUAUAUUGCAGGUCUGUCAUAAGCCACACUUUCCCAACUUUUCAAUAUAGGGAUAUAUUUCAGUGUCAUCAGCUAUAUCCUAAUAAAGGAUUGAUACUUUAAUUAUCUGCUGUGAUGCUGACCUGUG